CAAGUCGAACGGAAUCCAUGGGGUAGCAAUACUCCGGAAGAUUUAGUGGCGAACGGGUGAGGAACACGUGAGAAACUUGCCCCGGACUUUGGGAUAACAGUUGGAAACGACUGCUAAUACCAAAUACCUUCGGAGGUCCGCAUGGGCCAUCGAAGAAAGAAUUUCGGUCCGGGAGAGUCUCGCGGCCUAUCAGCUAGUUGGUGGGGUAAUGGCCUACCAAGGCAUCGACGGGUAGCUGGUCUGAGAGGAUGAUCAGCCACACUGGGACUGAGACACGGCCCAGACUCCUACGGGAGGCAGCAGUGGGGAAUCUUGUGCAAUGGGCGAAAGCCUGACACAGCAACGCCGCGUGCGGGAAGAAGGCCUUCGGGUCGUAAACCGCUUUCAGCAGGAACGAAAAUGACGGUACCUGCAGAAGAAGGUGCGGCCAACUACGUGCCAGCAGCCGCGGUGACACGUAGGCACCAAGCGUUGUCCGGAUUUAUUGGGCGUAAAGAGCUCGUAGGCGGUUCAGCAAGUCGGGUGUGAAAACUAUGGGCUUAACCCAUAGCCUGCAUCCGAAACUGCUGUGACUAGAGUUCGGUAGGGGAGAGGGGAAUUCCUAGUGUAGCGGUGAAAUGCGCAGAUAUUAGGAGGAACACCGAUGGCGAAGGCACCUCUCUGGGCCGAUACUGACGCUGAGGAGCGAAAGCGUGGGUAGCAAACAGGAUUAGAUACCCUGGUAGUCCACGCCGUAAACGUUGGGCACUAGGUGUGGGUCUCUAACCAACGAGAUCCGCGCCGUCGCUAACGCAUUAAGUGCCCCGCCUGGGGAGUACGGUCGCAAGACUAAAACUCAAAGGAAUUGACGG
rnacentral:rRNA from 1 species